GAAAAACUAUAAAAAGAUUUUAAAUAUUUAUAUGAAAAAAACUAGUAAAUAAUUAAAAAAAGAAUUACUACUGAAAAUUAUUUGAAAAUGUUAAAAACGACUCUAAACGCACUUGGAAAGUAUUAAGAAAAAAUGAUGGAAAACAAAAAACUUUCUCAGGUUUUUUACCACAGGCGAGUAGAAUGGAUAAAAAGAUGUUUUUAAACCUAGAAUAAAAGCUGAUGACUUAAACAAAUUCUUCAAUAGCAUUGAUUUCAAACUGUCACAAAUAUUCCUAAUAACCAAGUUGUGUUCAAUAACUUUUUAACACCGAUGGAUGAUUGUAUUUGCUAUUAUAAAUUAUCUUCUGAGCUAUCAUUUGAGGAGUUGAAGUGUCAUUUAAAUUUAUAAAAAAAAUCAAAAAUUCUGGAACUGAUAAAAUAAACGUAAACAUAGUCUUAGAAUUCUUUGAAUAAUUAAAAGAUAUUCCCUCUAGAGUUUUCAAAGUGUCAACAAGAAGCGUACAACAAGAAGCGUACAACAAGAAGCGUACAACAAGAAGUUUUUCCUGAUCAGUUAAAAAUAGUCAAGGUGAUUUCAAUCUACAAAGAAGGAGACAGAACUAAUGUAUCAUUAAUAUAUAUGUGGCAUUGAUGUUGUUAGAAGCUAAUAUUUCACAAAAAUUUUUAAUGCAAUACAAGAUUGAAUUUAGCAGAGGGCUAAACUUCUGCUCUGGAAAUAAAAAAGGAAGACAGCGAAAAUGAUCAGCCAAAAGAAAAAUUAAAGAGACUAAAAAUUCUGUAUAUCUUGGUGUAGAUGAUUUGUUCUCAAUUUCUUAUAAUCAAACAAAAAAUAUUAUUAAAAUUUGGGAGUUACCUGUAACUCCAAACUCUUUACAGAAGUUCAAUUUUUGUUCUGAGAAGUUGAAUGAACAAAAUUUAUU